CGGCAGAGCUCAAAUUUGAAAGCUGGCCCCUUCGGGGUCCGCGUUGUAAUUUGCAGAGGAUGCUUCGGGUGCGGCCCCUGUCUAAGUGCCCUGGAACGGGCCGUCAGAGAGGGUGAGAAUCCCGUCUUGGGCAGGGUGCCCGUGCCCGUGUGAAGCUCCUUCGACGAGUCGAGUUGUUUGGGAAUGCAGCUCUAAAUGGGUGGUAAAUUUCAUCUAAAGCUAAAUACCGGCCGGAGACCGAUAGCGCACAAGUAGAGUGAUCGAAAGAUGAAAAGCACUUUGAAAAGAGAGUUAAACAGCACGUGAAAUUGUUGAAAGGGAAGCGCUUGCGACCAGACUCGGCCCCGGGGUUCAGCCAGCACUCGUGCUGGUGUACUUCCCCGGGGGCGGGCCAGCGUCGGUUUGGGCGGCCGGUCAAAGGCCCCAGGAAUGUAUCGCCCUCCGGGGUUGUCUUAUAGCCUGGGGUGCAAUGCGGCCAGCCCGGACCGAGGAACGCGCUUCGGCACGGACGCUGGCGUAAUGGUCGCAAACGACCCGUCUUGAAACACGGACC
rnacentral:rRNA from 1 species